UACAGAGGGGGCAAGCGUUAUUCGGAAUUAUUGGGCGUAAAGGGCGCGUAGGCGGCUUGGCAAGUGGAAGGUGAAAUCCCUCGGCUUAACCGAGGAACUGCCCUCCAAACUGCUUUGCUUGAGGCCGGGAGAGGUGAGUGGAAUUCCCAGUGUAGCGGUGAAAUGCGUAGAUAUUGGGAGGAACACCAGUGGCGAAGGCGGCACU
rnacentral:rRNA from 1 species